GUGGGGAAUCUUGCGCAAUGGGCGAAAGCCUGACGCAGCCAUGCCGCGUGAAUGAUGAAGGUCUUAGGAUUGUAAAAUUCUUUCACCGGGGACGAUAAUGACGGUACCCGGAGAAGAAGCCCCGGCUAACUUCGUGCCAACAGCCGCGGUAAUACGAAGGGGGCUAGCGUUGCUCGGAAUUACUGGGCGUAAAGGGCGCGUAGGCGGACAGUUUAGUCAGAGGUGAAAGCCCAGGGCUCAACCUUGGAAUUGCCUUUGAUACUGGCUAUCUUGAGUAUGGAAGAGGUAUGUGGAACUCCGAGUGUAGAGGUGAAAUUCGUAGAUAUUCGGAAGAACACCAGUGGCGAAGGCGACAUACUGGUCCAUUACUGACGCUGAGGCUCGAAAGCGUGGGGAGCAAACAGGAUUAGAAACCCUUGUAGUCC
rnacentral:rRNA from 1 species